rnacentral:rRNA from 1 species
GCUACAGGCUUAACACAUGCAAGUCGAGGGGCAGCAUGGUCUUAGCUUGCUAAGGCCGAUGGCGACCGGCGCACGGGUGAGUAACACGUAUCCAACCUGCCGUCUACUCUUGGACAGCCUUCUGAAAGGAAGAUUAAUACAAGAUGGCAUCAUGAGUCCGCAUGUUCACAUGAUUAAAGGUAUUCCGGUAGACGAUGGGGAUGCGUUCCAUUAGAUAGUAGGCGGGGUAACGGCCCACCUAGUCUUCGAUGGGUAGGGGUUCUGAGAGGAAGGUUCCCCACAUUGGAACUGAGACACGGUCCAAACUCCUACGGGAGGCAGCAGUGAGGAAUAUUGGUCAAUGGGCGAGAGCCUGAACCAGCCAAGUAGCGUGAAGGAUGACUGCCCUAUGGGUUGUAAACUUCUUUUAUAAAGGAAUAAAGUCGGGUAUGGAUACCCGUUUGCAUGUACUUUAUGAAUAAGGAUCGGCUAACUCCGUGCCAGCAGCCGCGGUAAUACGGAGGAUCCGAGCGUUAUCCGGAUUUAUUGGGUUUAAAGGGAGCGUAGAUGGAUGUUUAAGUCAGUUGUGAAAGUUUGCGGCUCAACCGUAAAAUUGCAGUUGAUACUGGAUAUCUUGAGUGCAGUUGAGGCAGGCGGAAUUCGUGGUGUAGCGGUGAAAUGCUUAGAUAUCACGAAGAACUCCGAUUGCGAAGGCAGCCUGCUAAGCUGCAACUGACAUUGAGGCUCGAAAGUGUGGGUAUCAAACAGGAUUAGAUACCCUGGUAGUCCACACGGUAAACGAUGAAUACUCGCUGUUUGCGAUAUACAGCAAGCGGCCAAGCGAAAGCGUUAAGUAUUCCACCUGGGGAGUACGCCGGCAACGGUGAAACUCAAAGGAAUUGACGGGGGCCCGCACAAGCGGAGGAACAUGUGGUUUAAUUCGAUGAUACGCGAGGAACCUUACCCGGGCUUAAAUUGCAGAUGAAUUACGGUGAAAGCCGUAAGCCGCAAGGCAUCUGUGAAGGUGCUGCAUGGUUGUCGUCAGCUCGUGCCGUGAGGUGUCGGCUUAAGUGCCAUAACGAGCGCAACCCUUGUUGUCAGUUACUAACAGGUCAUGCUGAGGACUCUGACAAGACUGCCAUCGUAAGAUGUGAGGAAGGUGGGGAUGACGUCAAAUCAGCACGGCCCUUACGUCCGGGGCUACACACGUGUUACAAUGGGGGGUACAGAGGGCCGCUACCACGCGAGUGGAUGCCAAUCCCCAAAACCUCUCUCAGUUCGGACUGGAGUCUGCAACCCGACUCCACGAAGCUGGAUUCGCUAGUAAUCGCGCAUCAGCCACGGCGCGGUGAAUACGUUCCCGGGCCUUGUACACACCGCCCGUCAAGCCAUGGGAGCCGGGGGUACCUGAAGUGCGUAACCGCGAGGAGCGCCCUAGGGUAAAACUGGUGACUGGGGCUAAGU